GCAGAACGCGAAGAACCUUACCAAGGCUUGACAUGCAUCUCUAAGCGCGUGAAAGCGCGUGACUCUUCGGAGGAUUUGCACAGGUGCUGCAUGGCCGUCGUCAGCUCGUGUCGUGAGAUGUUGGGUUAAGUCCCGCAACGAGCGCAACCCCUGUGAACAGUUGCCAGCACGUUAAGGUGGGGACUCUGUUCAGACUGCCCAGAUCAACUGGGAGGAAGGUGGGGACGACGUCAGGUCAGUAUGGCCCUUACGCCUUGGGCUGCACACGUACUACAAUGCCCAGCACAAUGAGAACCGAGACCGCGAGGUGGAGGAAAUCUAUAAAACUGGGCCCAGUUCGGAUUGGAGGCUGCAACUCGCCUCCAUGAAGCCGGAAUCGCUAGUAAUGCUGCAUCAGCUACGGCAGCGUGAAUACGUUCCCGGGUCUUGUACACACCG
rnacentral:rRNA from 1 species